UACGUAGGGUGCGAGCGUUUAAUCGGAAUUACUGGGCGUAAAGAGUGCGUAGGCGGUUCUUGAAGUCCGCUGUGGAAAGCCCCGGGCUUAACCUGGGAAUGGCAGUGGAAACUGGAGGACUUGAAUUGAGCAGAGGGGGGUGGAAUGCCGCGUGUAGCAGUGAAAUGCGUAGAGAUGCGGCGGAACACCGAUGGCGAAGGCAGCCCCCUGGGCUUAAAUUGACGCUGAGGCACGAAAGCGUGGGAGC
rnacentral:rRNA from 1 species